UAUUAGAAAUUUUUCCAGGUCCCAGCCACACUAAAGAGAAGGGUAUCAUGCAAAGAAUACCAGGAAGUGGUAUCCUUGGGAGAAUCACUUAACACAUCAUGGAGACAACUUACAAAUCUGCUACAGAAGCGUUGUGAUAUUGCUUUCAAGAAAUCAUUAAAAAAUGAAAAUCUAUGGAAAUAUCAAUGUGUUGUGAACCUGAACAGACCAAUAUAACAUUGUAUGACAAUUAUACUUCAGUAAUUUUUUAAAGCUAUGGAAAUAGAAGUGAAAACAUAAAAAACUAAGAAGAAUGGACUAGGAGGUCUAAUGUCUGACUAAUAAGAUUUCUAAAAGGAGAUAUUAGAGUAAAACUGUGGAGAAAAAAAAUUUUGAAAGAAAUAAUAUAAGAAGAUGAGGUCCCAGAACUAAAGGGCAUGAUUCUACAGAUUAAAGGGUCCAUUGAGUGCCUAUCAAACUUAAUAAGAAAUCCAACAUCGUUGUGAGUUUUAAGAACACAAGAGAUGAAGGUCCUAACAGUUUCCAGAGAGAAAAAUUAGAAUUCCAUUGAACUUCUUAACAGCAAGCAGAACAUAGAACAUAAUGGAAGAAUACCUUAAAAAUUCUGAGGGCUUUACAAUUCUAUGCUUAUCUACUCUAUAAGUGAGGAGAACCUAGAGACAUUUUAAGAUGUAUAAGGACUCAAACAGAGAGGUUUCAAAUGAAGAACAACCAGUUCAUACUGAAGCAGGUUCCAAUGAGCAGAUAUACGACACUGGAUCUGCAGGCUUAAGCAACCAACCUUAGCCAGCAACCAUUCAUAGGAACUCAUAACUUCUGUGGAGCAUGGAGAGGGUGUCAUCUGGUUCUCAGGCAGCUGGGUUGCAGUUUCCUCUGGAAUGUGGACAAACUCAGUGACUUGCUUUUGACAAAUAGGAAAAGUGAAAGUAAAGGUCUGUGGCUUUGGAGGCUAAGUCAUAAAAGGUACCGUGGCUUCUUCCUUGCUCUCUUUUGGAUUACUCACUCUGGAGGAAGUUACCAUGUUUUGAAGACAGGUCCACCUUGUGAGGAGCUGAGGACUCCAGCCAAGAGCCAGGAAAACUCCAGAUACCCACUACUUUUUACCUGGUCCCGUGCAGAAUGCUGUGGGUUUUAUAUUCUAACUGAAGCCACUGUACUCGCUAUGGCAGAAACGGACAAUGAAGUAAGAGACAAGUGAAACCAAGAAGAUAGGAGCUACUUGCUGGCAAAUUAGUAGAACAUAAAGGCUCAUGUUGUAUGUGUUGCAAGACCCUAACCACAACCUCUCUAUUCAGAAGACCAGCCAAGACUGUGGCCCACAUUUCAGGGGACAUGAGGGACACCACCAGGUAGUUAAGUAUCUCAGAAACUCUCUGCUCAUUGGAGGAAUUUUUGUUGAAGUGAAUGCUUAUAUAUAAUUUUUGAGAUCAACAUGAAACAAGUUAGAAAGUAAUCAAUGUUCACUGAGGAGCAUUACUGAGAGACAGCCGGUUUAUAGGUUUUUGAUUGUGGUGCAAGAUGUGCACUCGUUCCCGUGUGAGUGGGAUUUGGGAUUUAAUUUCAGAACCACCUUGUAAUAUAUCUGGUGCCAUAUAAUGUUGCUAACUUCCCCCAAUAUCAUCAUUACUAAUAAGAGCUAUCUAUAUUUUGAACCCUUAGUACACACGGCCUUGUGCUAAAUUCUGACCGUGUUUUAGAAUUUCUUCUACAUAGAAGAUGCUCAUAGUAGAGCAUGAGGUGGAUAAUAUUGUCUUCCUUUUAUCAGUCAGGGAAUCCAGAAGAGUUAGGAGUCUGUUCAGGGUCACACAGCUACUCAGUUGGAGACCCAGGGUUUGACACCAGUCCUACCUAAGCCCCCAAACAUGUCUUUAACCACUGUUCUAGGGGCACUCUGCACAGUAUUUAACAAGGGACAGAUGGACUUGUUUCUAACACAAGUCAGUUUGAAGAAUAUUGUAAGUCAAAUAAUUAUCUAGUUUGUAUCUUCAUGUUCACAUGUGAAGGAAAAAACUUCUGUUGUCCCAGGAAUUACUGUUGUGCUUUGCAUUUCUAAGAGCAUAUGUUAAAACUGAAGAAAAUUCCUUGCAGAUGUAAGACAUGUCUGGUAACACUUGCCUGAUCGGUCCUUUCAGUUGGAUGCCAUAGCGACUUGCGCUACCCACCCCACCCCCACUUCUCUUUACAUAAAAGGGCUGGGUUUUCCUAUCUGUCCUUAACUUCUACUCUAGGACACGCUCCACAGCUUUGCUGUUGACAAGCAUUUCUUGGUAAAGGGUCCUGUGGCGUAAAAUUUCUUAGCCUUCUACCACUAGUAAUACAUAAACAUUAAGACGGAGGGCUUCAGUUUAGAAGACAAGCAGGCAGCGCUCAUUCAAAGAUGUGGGGACAUAGUAGGUUCCUAUCUUCUCUGUGUAACCAUUCAGAUAAAGACUGUGUUAGCCAAGUAGGAUUUCCUAUGGAUCGUGGGUUACCAAAACAUUUUCGUUCAAAAUGGACUUUUAAGAAAAAUAGGAAACCUGUGAAAUUACAAAGGUUACAAAAGACUUUAAUUCCUACAAUGACCUGAGGGUUAAACACACACACACACACACAUACACACACACACACCGUAACUACGUUGUAAAGAAUGCUUCAAUAAUUCGUUAAUACUAACAAUUGAAGGGUGCAAUUUAUUCAGUGAUAGCCAUCAAAUCACCUACUGUUGCAGACAUGGGUGUACCAGGGAGGAGAUGAGACUAGUUUCUUAAGAUCUUUUCCUAGUUGCUUUGA